GAGUAGUUAGCUUAAGUUUAAAGCACCGGAUUUUUAAUCCGGGGAUUAAUCUGCUUA
rnacentral:tRNA from 1 species